rnacentral:rRNA from 1 species
UACAGAGGUCUCAAGCGUUGUUCGGAUUCAUUGGGCGUAAAGGGCGCGUAGGCGGCCACCGCAAGUCGACUGUGAAAUCUCUGGGCUUAACCCAGAAAGGUCAGCCGAUACUGCGGGGCUAGAGUGCAGAAGGGGCAACUGGAAUUCUCGGUGUAGCGGUGAAAUGCGUAGAUAUCGAGAGGAACACCUGCGGCGAAGGCGGGUUGCUGGGCUGACACUGACGCUGAGACGCGAAAGCGUGGGGAGCGAACAGG